UACGUAGGGUGCGAGCGUUAAUCGGAAUACUGGGCGUAAAGCGUGCGCAGGCGGUUUUGUAAGCCAGAUGUGAAAGCCCCGGGCUUAACCUGGGAAUGGCAUUUGGGACUGCAAGGCUUGAGUGCGGCAGAGGAGACUGGAAUUCCUGGUGUAGCAGUGAAAUGCGUAGAUAUCGAGGAGGAAUACCGAUGGCGAAGGCAGGUCUCUGGGCUGACACUGACGCUCAUGCACGAAAGCGUGGGGAGCAAACGAGGA
rnacentral:rRNA from 1 species